rnacentral:lncRNA from 1 species
AGUGAGCAUGAACGAGCGAAAUAAAUAAAUAGAUGCCAUGCUGAUCCCAAAAGAAGGAAGGUGCAGGAAGGGGAACUUGCACAGCAAUUCUGGGGAGCAGGAACCCUAGCCCGCCUUCAUCCUCCGCAUCUCCCCUGGGGCUUCAGGAGACUUGUCACCACAGUUCACACCAGCUUCCUCCUGCCCCAGCUCUCCCACCGCAUCUCCAGUCU